CUAAAGCCUUGUGACCCCUUAGGAGGCUGGUGAUUUCCUCACAAGGAGGACCUAAGAGCACCAAGAAGCAUAGUGAGCUCCUUAGAGGGAACGUUUCACUGACGGUGUGAUCUGAUGGGUUGAGCAUGAACAUUCUGCAGCACAGACCGGGUUCCUCCAGGCCUUGGAGGGGCUGAUCUUCCAGCUCCUGGGAGCCUGUCAGUGUCUCAGGGCUUCUGGGAGCAGGCCCUGCACAGAGCAUGAGCCUGUCGAUGGAGACAUCGACAUAGAGAUGAGACAUGGAAAGACUCUCCUGAGACCUUCUAGUCUCUGAUUUGGGGAUCUUCCUGAGACACAACUGCUUUCCCGACAGUGGGUGCAGAAAGAAACCCUCUGCCCGUUCAGUGAUUGAUCCUUUGUGCGUAAGCUGGCUUGAGUUGGUUUCGGCUACUUCCAACGAAUCCAGUCUCGUCUUCAACAUAAACAAAAGCAGAAGCAGGAGCCCCGGAGAUGCCUCGAUACUAUCAGGUCCGGGAGUGACAGUCAAACCGGGUCCCUAGAGACCACUGAUGACGGGGUCGCUUCCCUGCCAGGGCCAAGGCCUCAGAGCACAUGGCCCUAGAAGGGAGUAAAGACUGUGUUGUAAAAAAAAAAAAAAAACAAGAAGAAGAAGGAAAAAGAUGAACUACCUUCUAAACUGUGGGGACAGUGCUGGAGUGGCUGUCCACAUUGAUCAUGGCAAGAUCAUUGCAAGCUCAGCAAGAACCAGCUGCCGGGUCACGGCCUGUUUGGAAAGACAAAUGCAGUCCAUUAAAGGGG
rnacentral:lncRNA from 1 species